GAGGGUAGAGCUCAGUGCUAGAGUGCAUGCUUAGCAUCACAAGGUCCUGGGUUCAAACCCCAGUACCUCCA
rnacentral:tRNA from 1 species